ensembl:rRNA 5S_rRNA 5S ribosomal RNA
GCCGGCAGCUAGCUCUCUGCAUCUCUCACAUGGUCGCCCACUGAAAUUAAGCAUGGCUGCGAAGCGGUCAGUACCUGGAUGGGAGACCACAUGGGAAAACUAGGUUGCUGCCGGAA